UNGGAGAGGAAAGUGGAAUUCCUAGUGUAGCGGUGAAAUGCGUAGAUAUUAGGAAGAACACCAGUGGCGAAGGCGACUUUCUGGACGAAAACUGACGCUGAGGCGCGAAAGCCAGGGGAGCGAACNGGAUUAGAUACCCCGGUAGUCCUGGCCGUAAACGAUGGGUACUAGGUGUAGGAGGUAUCGACCCCUUCUGUGCCGGAGUUAACGCAAUAAGUACCCCGCCUGGGGAGUACGACCGCAAGGUUGAAACUCAAAGGAAUUGACGGGGGCCCGCACAAGCGGUGGAGUAUGUGGUUUAAUUCGACGCAACGCGAAGAACCUUACCAGGUCUUGACAUUGAUGGACAGAACUAGAGAUAGUUCCUCUUCUUCGGAAGCCAGAAAACAGGUGGUGCACGGUUGUCGUCAGCUCGUGUCGUGAGAUGUUGGGUUAAGUCCCGCGACGAGCGCAACCCCUAUCUUAUGUUGCCAGCACGUAAUGGUGGGAACUCAUGAGAGACUGCCGCAGACAAUGCGGAGGAAGGCGGGGAUGACGUCAAAUCAUCAUGCCCCUUAUGACCUGGGCUACACACGUACUACAAUGGGAGUCAAUAGACGGAAGCGAGAUCGCGAGAUGGAGCAAACCCGAGAAACACUCUCUCAGUUCGGAUCGUAGGCUGCAACUCGCCUACGUGAAGUCGGAAUCGCUAGUAAUCGCAGGUCAGCAUACUGCGGUGAAUACGUUCCCGGGCCUUGUACACACCGCCCGUCACACCACGAAAGUCGGAAGUGCCCAAAGCCGGUG
rnacentral:rRNA from 1 species